ensembl:misc_RNA 7SK 7SK RNA
UCCCUCCCGAAGCUAAGCACUCGUUUGAAGAGGACGACCUUCCCCGAUCGAGGAGGACCAUUGUUCCGUCAAGGGUAUAGGAGUAGCUGAGCUCUUCUCCAAGAAUCUCCAAACAAAUUCUCAAAGCCUAUUUAAAAUUGCAUAAGGUUCAAC